UACCAGCACCCCGAGUGGUCGGGACGAUUAUUGGGCCUAAAGCAUCCGUAGCCGGCCUUACAAGUCCCCCGUUAAAUCCAACUGCUUAACAGAUGGGCUGCGGAGGAUACUAUAAGACUAGGAGGCAGGAGAGGCAAGCGGUACUCAGUGGGUAGGGGUAAAAUCCGUUGAUCCAUUGAAGAACACCGGAGGCGAAGGCGGCUUGCUGGGCUCGGUCUGACGCUGAGGCGCGAAAGCGUGGGGAGCGAACAGG
rnacentral:rRNA from 1 species